UUUUGGUCCCAUGUGUUUUAGUUUUUGGAAGCAGCUGUAUUGGUAAAGCUUCUGGCUGAAUUACCGGACAAAGCCUGCAUUAUAAAAAUCCUCAGCUUGUUUGCUCUUCACUUCAAAAAGACUGUGGGCUGCCAGCUUGUCAUACUCAUAUUACCCACAUGCCUGCUGAAGUUUUCACCAGCAGGCAUGAAUCUCUGGGUCUCUGCUUUUUUUUUCUUUUUUUAAUUGGUUGGCCUAUAGCUAUUUGGUUUGAUAUGUAUUUGUCAAAGACAAAUCAUAUAGGGGCUGGCACAAGACAGCUGGCAGUCUAUGGCCCUCCCAGAAGCAAGGAGGUUUUGGAUGAAGGAUUUUACUUUUUCCCCUGGUCUGAAUCUUCAGAAUAGGGCUGAACCUGGCAUAGAAGACUUCUGUUGGCUUUUGGAAAGCUGAUUGCUCAGUCAUUGAACUCAGAAUGUGUUUGGAGUGAGAGUGUGUGUAUGUACCGGCAUCUGGGACCCUGAUGCAGUAAAGCAGGCUAAGGUCUUCACUUAAGUGUCAUAUUCACAGAGAGGCUUUCCCUGGUUACUCUACCUAAAAUGAUGGAUGGAGGAAGAGAAGGCUGUGACAAAAAUGGUGGAAAAUUUUCAAAGUAGUUGUAGUCAAGCCAGGAUACCCAUUCUAAAUAUCAAGAAGGGAAAAGCUGAAGAAAGAAAUUCUCAAUCUUGUCAAAUCCUUCACAGUAUCAAAAGGAAUGAAUGAAAUAAAAUAUUACUAAUAAAAGAAAAUAUUGCA